AGAGUUUGAUUCUGGCUCAGAACGAACGCUGGCAGCGUGGAUUAGGCAUGCAAGUCGAACGUGAAGCCGUUGAACAAUCUUUCGGGAGAGUGAUUCGGUGGAAAGUGGCGGAAGGGUGAGUAACGCGUGGGUGAGCUGUCUCGAAGUUGGGGACAACCAGAUGAAAAUCUGGCUAAUACCGAAUGUGGUCUUCUGGCGCAUGUCAGGAUGACUAAAGGUGGGGAUUCUUCGGAACCUGCCGCUUUGAGAGGUGCCCGCGUGCCAUCAGCUUGUUGGUAGGGUAAUGGCCUACCAAGGCUUACGGCUAGCCGGCCUGAGAGGGUGAUCGGCCACACUGGGACUGAGACACUGCCCAGACUCCUACGGGAGGCUGCAGUCGAGGAUCAUUCGCAAUGCGCGAAAGCGUGACGAUGCGACGCUGCGUGGGGGAUGAAGGCCUUCGGGUCGUAAACUCCUGUCAUGAGGGAACAGUAUCCCUGUAAUUAAUAGUUGCGGGGCUCGAUGGUACCUCAAGAGGAAGCCACGGCUAACUCUGUGCCAGCAGCCGCGGUAAUACAGAGGUGGCGAGCGUUGUUCGGAUUUACUGGGCGUAAAGGGUGCGUAGGUGGUUUUGUGUGUCGGAUGUGAAAUCCCAUGGCUCAACUGUGGAAUUGCAUUCGAAACUGCGGAACUAGAGUGCAGGAUGGGAGAGCGGAAUUCUUGGUGUAGCGGUGAAAUGCGUUGAUAUCAAGAAGAACACCGGUGGCGAAGGCGGCUCUCUGGAAUGCUACUGACACUGAGGCACGAAAGCUGGGGGAGCGAACAGGAUUAGAUACCCUGGUAGUCCCAGCCGUAAACGGUGCACACUUGGUGUGGGGAGAUUUAACCCUCUCCGUGCCGGAGUUAACGCGUUAAGUGUGCCGCCUGGGGAGUACGGCCGCAAGGCUAAAACUCAAAGAAAUUGACGGGGGCCCGCACAAGCGGAGGAGCAUGUGGCUUAAUUCGAUGCAACGCGAAGAACCUUACCAGGGCUUGACAUGGGGACCCUUCGGGGGUGGUAGCGAAAGUUACCUUUACCAUCACAGGUGCUGCAUGGCUGUCGUCAGUUCGUGCCGUGAGGUGUUGGGUUAAGUCCCGUAACGAACGCAACCCUUGUGGCUAGUUGCCACCGGUGGUGAUGAGCCGCCGAGCACUCUAGCCAGACUGCCCGUACAAGCGGGAGGAAGGUGGGGAUGACGUCAAGUCAGUAUGGCCCUUACGUCCUGGGCUGCACACGUGCUACAAUGGUCGGUACAGUGGGAUGCAAUACCGCGAGGUGGAGCAAAUCCCCAAAGCCGCCCUCAGUUCGGAUUGAAGUCUGCAACUCGACUUCAUGAAGUUGGAUUCGCUAGUAACGGCGCAUCAGCUACGGCGCCGUGAAUACGUUCCCGGGCCUUGUACACACCGCCCGUCACAUCAUGAAAGCCGUCUGCACCCGAAGUCGCUGAGCCAACCAUUUAUGGAGGCAGGUGCCGAAGGUGUGGGUGGUGAUUGGGAC
rnacentral:rRNA from 1 species